AAACUUUCAACAAUGGAUCUCUUGGCUCUGGCAUCAAUGAAGAACGCAGCGAAACGCGAUAUGUAAUGUGAAUUGCAGAACUCAGUGAAUCAUCGAAUCUUUGAACGCACAUUGCACUACUUAGUAUUCUAGGUAGUAAGCCUAUUCGAGCGUCAUAA
rnacentral:rRNA from 1 species